rnacentral:rRNA from 1 species
GAUGAACGCUAGCGGGAGGCUUAACACAUGCAAGUCGAGGGGCAGCAUAGGGUAGCAAUACUCUGAUGGCGACCGGCAAACGGGUGAGUAACGCGUAUGCAACCUACCCUGUACAGGGGGAUAACCCGGAGAAAUUCGGACUAAUAUCCCGUAAUAAUAUCCGGAGGCAUCUUUGGAUAUUUAAAGUUCCGACGGUACGGGAUGGGCAUGCGUAACAUUAGCUGGUUGGUAAGGUAACGGCUUACCAAGGCUAUGAUGUUUAGGGGUCCUGAGAGGGUGGUCCCCCACACUGGUACUGAGACACGGACCAGACUCCCACGGGAGGCAGCAGUGAGGAAUAUUGGUCAAUGGGCGCAAGCCUGAACCAGCCAUCCCGCGUGCAGGAAGACGGCCCUAUGGGUUGUAAACUGCUUUUCCAGGGAGAGAAACUUACGCACGUGUUGCGUGACUGACGGUACCCUGGGAAUAAGCAUCGGCUAACUCCGUG